GGGAAGUUCAUGAGUUUAUCAAAAUUAUUACUCAAUAUCAUCUAUAAAAGCUAGACUUGAACAGUUUAUAAAAUUGCAUUGAAAGCACAAAAUUCUUUUGAAUAGCUCCACCCUACCAAGUAAACCUGCAUCCCAACCUUCUCAGCAAUCAUCAAUUGCUGGAGAGUCUUGCUUUCAGCUCGUCGGCCACUGCAUCAAUAAACUCCUCAGUGUUCAGAUAAUGCUCCCUUGUCAUCUUGGAUCCAUGAAUGAUGAGUGCAAGAUCUUUUGUCAUCUUUCCAGCCUCCACAGUUCCUAUGCAUGCAGCCUCUAGCUUCUCGGUGAAAUCAAGCAGUUUAGUAUUGCCAUCAAGUUUUGCCCUGUGUGCAAGUCCUCGUGUCCAGGCAAAGAUAGAAGCGAUGCUAUUUGUACUGGUUUCACCACCCUUUUGGUGAACACGGAAAUGUCGUGUCACCGUGCCAUGUGCAGCUUCGGCUUCAAUGGUUUUCCCAUCUGGACAAACCAGUACUGAUGUCAUCAAUCCAAGAGAUCCAAAACCUUGAGCUAAGAAAUCACUUUGCACGUCUCCAUCAUAGUUCUUGCAAGCCCAUACGUAACCACCGUCACUCUUAAGCGCAUAGGCAACCAUAUCAUCAAUGAGUCGAUGUUCAUACCAUAUUCCUGCUGCCUCGUACUUGGAUUUCCAUUCAGCUUCAUACACCUCUUGGAAUAUGUCCUUGAACCUUCCAUCGUACUUCUUCAGAAUUGUAUUUUUGGUGCUAAGAUAUAGUGGCCACUUUUUCUCGUAAGCAGUAUUCAUUGAAGACUCAGCAAAAGCACGAAUAGACUCGUCUGUGUUAUACAUAGACAAGGCUACACCUCCCGCACCGGUGAAGUUAUACACCUCUAGCUCAUACUGCUCUUCUUUUCCCUCGAAAACUAGUUUGAGCUUCCCG
rnacentral:misc_RNA from 1 species